GGUACUUUCGAGUCAGUGAGGAAGGUGGGAUAUGUUAAUAGUCAUAUUCAUUUGACGUUAGCUGCAGAAGAAGCACCGGCUAACUCCGUGCCAGCAGCCGCGGUAAUACGGAGGGUGCGAGCGUUAAUCGGAAUUACUGGGCGUAAAGCGCAUGCAGGUGGUUGUUAAGUCAGAUGUGAAAGCCCGGGGCUCAACCUCGGAAUUGCAUUUGAAACUGGCAAACUAGAGUACUGUAGAGGGGGGUAGAAUUUCAGGUGUAGCGGUGAAAUGCGUAGAGAUCUGAAGGAAUACCGGUGGCGAAGGCGGCCCCCUGGACAGAUACUGACACUCAGAUGCGAAAGCGUGGGGAGCAAACAGGAUUAGAUACCCUGGUAG
rnacentral:rRNA from 1 species